rnacentral:rRNA from 1 species
AGCGAACGCUGGCGGCAGGCCUAAUACAUGCAAGUCGAACGGCUCUUCGGAGCAGUGGCGGACGGGUGAGUAACACGUGGGAACGUGCCCUUUGGUACGGAACAACUGAGGGAAACUUCAGCUAAUACCGUAUGUGCCCCCAUUCUUAGCGGGAUGGGUGGGAAAGAUUUAUCGCCAUUGGAGCGGCCCGCGUUGGAUUAGCUAGUUGGUGGGGUAAAGGCCCACCAAGGCUACGAUACAUAGCUGGUCUGAGAGGAUGAUCAGCCACACUGGGACUGGGACACGGCCCAGACUCCUACGGGAGGCAGCAGUAGGGAAUCUUGCGCAAUGGGCGAAAGCCUGACGCAGCCAUGCCGCGUGAAUGAUGAAGGUCUUAGGAUUGUAAAAUUCUUUCACCGGGGAAGAUAAUGACGGUACCCGGAGAAGAAGCCCCGGCUAACUUCGUGCCAGCAGCCGCGGUAA